rnacentral:lncRNA from 1 species
CUCGCUCCCCGGAGCCGGUCGGAGCGGCUCUGCCGCCUGCAGCCCCGCCGCUCCCUCCCGCGCUGGCGGCGGGCGCAGGGGGCUCGGACCCUGCCAAAGGCCAGAGGUAGAUUGACCGGGCGGCUUCCAGCAGCAGCGGCCGGGGAGACAGCUGCCGCGAGGGUUCACCUGCCCGCUCUCCGUUUCCUCUUCCUCGUCCUCACCCGGCCCCACCGGAGCCCCGCACAGCCGUUUGAAGACAGAGAUCAGAAAAGGAUGGACCGAGAUGGAUGUGGUGAAAAGGGUACCAGUAGAAUGACAGGCUCUGGAAGAUUGGAACUUCCCAAGCCAAUUAAACUUGAAGCAAAUAUGGGGAUGGAUAUCAUCAAAGUCUAUAGCUCAUUUAAACAAUGCAGAUAUGUCUUUAAAAAAAAUCAUUCUAUGCUGUGGAUAUGAAAGAAGAAAUGAAAUCUUUGUCAUAAUAGUCCUGAUUGCCUGACCCGUGAUUACUUCAUGCCACAUCUGCACCUUUGUUAAGAUGUAGCAGCUAAUCCAGGAAAACAUUUCCAGGCAUAUGAAUGAUGAGAAAAUAAUCAGAAGCAGUCAGCACGGAUUCACAAAGGAGGAAGUCGUGCUUGAUCAACCUGAUAGCCUACAGUAAAAGAGCUGGCCUGCUGGAUGAGGGGAGCGUGCAGACUGUCAAUUUGGACUUCAGUAAGGCCUUUGACACUGUCUCACAUAAGAUCCUCCAAGACAGGCAUUUGUAUGGCUUAGGUGAGCAGACAGUGAGCUGGACUGAAAACUGCUCAAAUGGGCAGACCCAAAUGCUGAUGAUUGGUGCCACAACUAGCUGGAUACCGGUGACUAGCAGCGUACCCCAGGUGUCAACACUUACUCCUUCAACAAUCUUCAUUAAUGACCUGGAUGAUGAGGCAGAGUGCAUAAUCAGGAAUUUUUCAGAGAAUAUAAAACCAGGAUGAGAGGCUGAUAUCAGAGAGUCAUGUUGCCAUCACAGGGACAUCAACAGCCUUAAGAAAUGGGAUGACAGGAACCUAAUGAAAUUCAGCAAGGGCAAAUGCCAAAUCCUGCACUUGGGGAGAAAAAAACUGAAAAAUGCUAGGUACUGCCCAGCUGGAGAACAGCCUGAGAGAAUAGGACCUGGGGGUCCUGGGGGACACCAAGCUGAACAUAAGACAGCAGUGUGCCUUUGUGGCAAAGAAGGAGAAUGAUGUCCUAGGCUGCAUUAGGAGUACUGCCAGCAUAUGGGAGAUGAUCCUGCUCCUUCACUCAGAGCUGGUGCGGAUAUCCCUGGAGUACUUUGUCCAGCUCUGCACUCGCUCGGUACAGUCAUGAGCACAUUGCAGAGAAUCCAUUCUUCAGUGGACCCUUCAAUGGAAGGGUCAUUAGGAUAACUGAGGGACUGGAUCACCUUUGCUAUGAGGAAUGGCUGAGGGAG